rnacentral:rRNA from 1 species
AAGCUACAUUAUUACAUCCGCCCGGGAACUACGAGCCGCAGCUUAAAACCCAAAGGACUUGGCGGUGCCCCAAACCCACCUAGAGGAGCCUGUUCUAUAAUCGAUACCCCCCGCUUAACCUCACCCCUCCUCGCCAGCAGCCUAUAUACCACCGUCGCCAGCCCACCUCAUGAGAGAAAGCAAGUAGGCACAAUGGUAGCCACCAAAACGUCAGGUCAAGGUGUAGCUCAUGGAGCGGAAAGAAAUGGGCUACACUUUCUACACAGAAGAUACGAAAGACCACUAUGAAACCUGGUCUGAAGGCGGAUUUAGUAGUAAAAAGAUUCAAGAGUGUUCUUUUUAAUCCGGCCCUGGGGCGCGCACACACCGCCCGUCACCCU